GCAAGCAAGCAUCAAUGUAAGUGAUGGAGUGUGAACUAACAGUACAAGAGUGAAAAGGUUAGUAUUUCUAACAGAAAUGCAUGGAAUGAGAACCUGAAUACUUUAUGAAAGUCGGUAAGUUAUGUGAACUUUAAACUAUGAGAGAACGAUUAGUUUUAAUUUCCUGAUUUUGCAUGAUUCUUGGAUUGUUUGAAUGCAUGCAUGGUGUGGAGAUGAUCCAAGCCAUUUUUGUUAUUUUAUUACAGCUACUUAGCCAAAUAGCCAUCUUGUAAAUAAAUGUGUCCCUUGCACCCUUUUUGAGCCUAAUGUAAUUUUUUUUGUCAUUGGAACCUGUUAAUGCUCAGAAAAUAGUUUGCACUACUGUGAAAUUUAUCCGCAAGUGUACUGAGUCACAAGUAAUAUAAAAGGGUAAGAACCGAGUAUCGAAUCAUAGGGAGUUUGUUUCAUUUAGGAAGGCGUCCAUUCAAUAAGUAGACAUUUAUAUAAAACCAGGAAAUAGAAAUAAGCAAAGAUAUUUUCUGUAAUCCCUAAGUUAACUACAAAAUUAACUACCUAAAUGUGAGAGAUAAACAAAUGAUUAAAACGUUGGGUCCUUCUACUGAGUGACUUGAUGCAAUUAGGUAUUUUUCUCUAUUUAAGGUUGUUUAUGUGUUCUAUGCUGAGGGAAACUACCCCAAACCACGAUUCCUAACAUGAAUGGGCUAAUUCUAUUUAAACCUCGUUCUCGGAUCCCUCGUCAAACUUAGCCUAAAUGAAUUGCAUUAAGAUUACAACAUAUUAAAAACUAAAUCCUUGCACUCUGUGUCCAGACAUAUAGUUCUCUAGCUUGUUCUAUCCAGUUCUAAGGAUUUAAAACACUUUCCAAUGCUAAAAAUCCUAACUUUACACACAAAUGGGAGAUCAGUCCACAAACAUGUAAGAAUUAAAUGCAGAUAGAAGCAAUGAACACAUAAAAACCACUUUAAAUAGAUAGUAGAGAGUUUUACAUCAAGGCUCAACAGAAAUUCCCAACAAGAAACUUAGCCUUCCAUUGCAAGUUAUCACCUUUCAACAACAAGAUGAGGUUUUUGAAGUAAAAUUAAGAUUACAUAGUGGUGAGGAUGUCUCCUCCACCUCUAGAAACCUAAAAAUCACUCCUAAACCUAGAAUCCUCUUGAAAGUUGAGAUCUUUGGCUCUGUUGCGUCUCUCUUCACAAAAACUAUCAGGCCUCCCAAUUUUUCGCCAACUUUAGCUUUUAAGGGCUUUCUAUCCUCGAAGUCUCGCUUAGCGCCAUUUUCGCAUUAAGCGAGAGUUAGUGACUUUUGGCUUAGCGAGCGAGGCGCGCUUAGCACCAGAGGAGACAAAUGACUCGUUGGGUGAGCUGAUGGUGGGCUGAGCGCAUGUAUGCUUGGCAUAUUCUCCUAACUCGCUAAGCGAGUUGAGUGCCUCGCUUAGCGAGACACCAGUUGCUUCAACCUUCUUAUUCUUCAUCUUUUCACCUGAAACUGAAGUUGAACCACAUUAAUUCACAAUGAAGGGGAUAUCUACUGAAUAAAAACUAAACUAAACAUAAAAGUAUGUACAAACCUACAAAAAGAACCAUAAAUUGGGGGAAAGACAAUUUUAUAAAGCUUUUCAAUACAAAAGUUAGUUGUAAAUGACGACUAACAGAACCUAAGCCUAAAAAUUUGAUAUUGACUAACUACCCUUUCUUAGGUUAUAGAAGAGUACUCACGAAUUCAGAAAAAUUUGUCCCAAAUUUGGGAGAGUGUUUUUUGGGUGAAUUUUAUUGUAGGAAAAUGAAUAAACAACACAAAUCAAAUUGACCCACAUUAUAUGGUAUUACUGCAACCUAGUAUGAAUGUCUAUUACUUUUUGCAUCAAAAAAAUUUAUUUAUUUUAAAGAAUAAAAGCUAGGGUAAACCAUCAUUAAAGAAAAUGGUUGUGCUGAAAAGAGUAGCAAAACAAUAAGGUUGAUGUUGUGAAAAAUUCUAAGUUGUGAUUUGUCAACAAUUUGGGGGAAUAAAUGCUCUCCUAGAUCCUAAGCUUUUAAUCCUAAAAAAACCAUGAUUUCUUUGUUAGCUCAGCCACACUACAAGCCUAAUAAAGUCCUUAGUGAUCCACAUUAUAUAUGUAUGAUUGCAUUGGCUGAGAUGAUGUGCAAAGUUGAGAAUUUUACUAUUAAGUUAUUAUAAUUGAAACACUUUGAACUAAGACACUUGUGGGAUUGAGAGAAACACUAGCCUUGUGAGGACUGAAGUUUGGGGAUACUUCCUUGUGGUCUGUCAUUCUUGCUAACUAUUUCAUUUAAAGUUCAUCGUGUUAUGCUCCUUUCAUGAACUUAUGACAAAUGUGAACUUGAGAAUUGACCAAUGAAACUUUUUGGAAUGUAUGCAGUUAUCUAAUGAAUUGUGAUUAGUAAACUCUAAACUUUUUCUUAGUGUAAUUAGUUACUUUUGCUUAAGGACAAGCAAAACUUUAAAUUUAGGGGAGUUUGAUAACUACUAUGUAUAAGUAUAUUUUGGGAAUAAAUUACAUAGGCAUUGAUCAUUUGUCUUUCUUAUUUCUUCCUUUUUGUGCAAUAAUUGUUAUUUUAAUAUCAUUUAAGUUUUUGUGCAGAAAAUAUUAAAAGUUGAUGAAUUUGUGGUUAUUAUUGAAUAAUUGGUGCAGAAAAGAGAAAAUUUGAAAUUUGAAAGGGCGCGCUCAAUGCGUCCCAAGCACUAAGCACGAGGCACAAGCUUAGUAGACACAAGCUUAGUGACAGGAAGCAGAACUAAUUUAGGAAAGCAGGCUAAUUCAGGAAAGAGACGUGCUUAGCGUGAAUCAUGUGCUAAGUACGAGGUUACCGCCAUUCUCACUCAGCGCGGAAAGUGCGUUCAAUGCGAAGGUUACAUGGAAACUAAGCUGAUCUACGCCUAUAAAAGAAGGAGAGAGAAGAAGGAAAAAACACAGAAAUUCCAAUAGAAUACAAUUCCUUAUAGAAGGCAAAGACUAGAAGAAGGAGAAGCAAACAUUGGGAGUCAUUCCUUUCCUCCACCCCCUUUCUCAAAUUCCCCAUUUACUAAAUAUUCCCCUCUUGUAAUUGUAAAGCCUCCUAUGAUAAUGAGAGGCUAAACCCCCCUUUGUUAGGAACUUGGCAAGCCAGUUAUUCUUGAUGUAAUUUCUCUGCCUAUCCAUUUAAUAUUAUUACUUUUUGCAUUAUCUUUUCCUGUGCUUAAUUUUAUUGCUUAUGGUUUGAUCACCCAUUUGCAUGGUAAGUUUUAGG
rnacentral:lncRNA from 1 species